rnacentral:rRNA from 1 species
UACGGAGGAUGCGAGCGUUAUCCGGAUUUAUUGGGUUUAAAGGGUGCGUAGGCGGCAUGUCAAGUCAGCGGUAAAAGCCCGGGGCUCAACCCCGGCGAGCCGUUGAUACUGACGGGCUAGAGAGGGCGAGAGGUACGCGGAAUGCGCAGUGUAGCGGUGAAAUGCAUAGAUAUUGCGCAGAACUCCGAUUGCGAAGGCAGCGUACUGGCGCCUGUCUGACGCUGAGGCACGAAAGCGUGGGGAUCGAACAGG